GAUAGCUCGUUCUCUCCGAAAUGCAUCUAGGUGCAGCCUUGCGUGUUUAAUGAUGGGGGUAGAGCACUGACUGAACUAGGGGGCAUAUAGCUUACUGAAUUCAAUCAAACUCCGAAUACCAUUAUUCAAGAGCGCAGGAGUGAGACCAUGGGAGUUAACUUCCAUCGUCGAAAGGGAAACAACCCAGACCACCAGCUAAGGUCCCAAAUCAUAUCUAAGUGGGAAAGGAGGUGGAGAUUCUUAAACAACUAGGAG
rnacentral:rRNA from 1 species